CACCGUGGCUCCACCUACCUGCCCGGGCCGCGCAUGCGUGCGGGGGUUGCCGGCAGUGUAGGCUUCACUCUGGUCGCAGAAUUUCACAAAGCCUCUGAGUUGGUGACUGAGCACAGCUCUCCGAAGAAUGCCCUGAAGAGGAUGAGCAGGAGAGAGCACAGGUUCUCACAUCUCUUGCCUGAGUCACUGCAUUUUUAGAAAAAGUACAGUCAGUGAUAUUGGCCCUUUUCUCAACCUGUGUGUUCAGUGACAUCAUGGAAGUCAGCCUGGCCACAAUGGAGUAAGCCAGGGGAUGGCCCGUAGGAAACGAUACAUAGGUAGCCAGGGUUAGAACUUUUGUGACAUUGUAAGAACUUCGGAUUUUAUUGUGCGUGAGAUGGGGAGCUGCCAGGGGUAUACACCACACUGAUGUGUUCACAGACGUGCCCAGACACACACAGUGGUGUCCAUUCUCAGACAUGUCAGUGAGCACACAAAUACACAGGAACAUGUGUAAAGUCCACAUAUGUAAAAUCUAUAUCCCUGUGUGCUCAUGUGUACACACAUGCACGCACAUGGCCUCAGCUGGCAACCUUUGUCUAAAUUACUUUUUUUUUGUCUUUGCAAAACAGAAUUAAAUCAACAUCAAUUUCACGGUUACUGAUAAUAAAACGUGGAGAGUUGAUAGGGUGACUAAGCAACACAAAUAAGACUUUUUUUUUUUUUUUUUUUUUAAGACACAGAUUAUGUUUCCUGAAAUCCCCCAGGACAGUACACAAAGAGUCAGUUGGGUGUCUUGGGACCAGAUUCUAUUCAUAGUUUUCUCUCUAGUUCACUGAGGGUUCUCUCAGUUAUGCCCAGAGGAUGUUGGGUGGUGGGGAGGGCACUAGGAAGGCCUUGUUCUCACCCUUGGGAGUUUUGUCUUCAAAUUUAAACCAGGGGGAAUGACCCUUUAAAAUAAAAAGUCAGAUUGCA